UUAUGGCCACAUCACAGUGAAACACCAGUGCCCAUAUGAUCACCGAAGUUAAGCAUCAAGCCUAGUCUAGAUGGGUGACCACUUGGGAAUACCAGGUGCUGUAAG